rnacentral:sRNA from 1 species
AGCGCAGUGUGGCCUUGAUCUUCGACACAUCACCGUGGUGGAGCUGGUGGGUGUGUUCCCGACUCUCAUUGGCAGGAUAGGAGCAAAGAUUAUGCCUCCAGCCCUAGCGCUGCAGCUCAGUUUCAUAACCCUUAUAAAGUUGGAGCCAUGGAUUUUAGUCUCUGAAUAAUGAUGUAUUAAAGAAGCAGAAUUCAACAACCAAAAGGCUGUUGCUGCGAAUCCCACUCUACUCCUUCAGUAUGGUGCUAGUGGAUAAGCAUGGCAUGGACAAAGAGCGCUAUGUCUCCCUGGUGAUGCCUGUGGCCCUGUUCAACCUGAUUGACACUUUUCCCUUGAGAAAAGAAGAGAUGGUCCUACAAGCCGAAAUGGGCCAGACCUGUAACACCUGACAUGAUGGUUCCUCUCUUGGCAGUUCCUCUUCAUUGUCUACAUAGUGACGUGCACACGGCAAAGCCUUAAAAAUAUCCUU